GCAGUGGGAGGUGGGCUGGCUGUAGUCCAGCACCAGAUAAUAUUUGCCUGGCAAAUACUGCUGGCUUAGGGCAGUGAGCAGGGGUGCACUUAUAAGAUAACGCCUUCAUAGCUGGAUCAUUCUUCCCAUUUGGACCUCCAGGUUCAGAGGAACUUUCUGAAGAAAUAUAGGAGUUGCUCUUCAGCCAUCUAUUUUGCCUAAAAAGUCUUCUUUGCACAUGAAACACAACACAGAUCCUGUAUAGGAGGUCACAGAAGUAGAUACACUUCUGCAUGGGAAUUGCUUUUUCUCCUGGAUGAAACAGAUCUUUAGAAAAAUUGCAGAAUUUGCCUCUUUCUCAUCUGCUGGCAGGCUCCAUAUGCACCAUAUGAAAAAGGAGUUAAUAAAAUGCACGUUGGAAAUAUAAAACAAGGUCAGGGGCGACAGUUUGGCUGAAGGCCUUUCUUUAAAUGUGGAACGCAAAAGAACAAAAUUGUUUUAGCAGUUGCAGCUGUACAAAGAGGCAGCCUGAGCGGAGAGUGGCAGUCGAAGCAGCCAAGGUUCCUGCUACCUGUUUCAUGCGGCCGUCAAACCACUGUCUUCCACCUAACCCCCUUACAGGAGAAAGCCCUGCAGCUGUUCUGGAUCCCAUUGCCAGAGGCAUAUUAUGGCUUGUUUUGAUGUUGCACCAGAAAGUUCUGUGCCUCAUACGGGGACAAGCCAAGGAGAACAUCCCAAGUUCCAAGGGAGGCCAAAACACAAUCACCCUGUCAGACACAGAAAUGUUGGUACUUUUAAGUUUAUUCGAUGACUUUCAGAAGAAUCCAAUAAAAACUUCUGCAGAUAAAUUUGUGCCCUGGAACAGCAUUAACAGAAACAAAAAAGGAAGCAAAGCAAUUAGCAGAUCGUCCUGGAGACAAGAGGAAUAG
ensembl:lincRNA